rnacentral:rRNA from 1 species
GACGGAGGAUGCAAGUGUUAUCCGGAAUCACUGGGCGUAAAGCGUCUGUAGGUGGUUUAAUAAGUCAACUGUUAAAUCUUGAGGCUCAACCUCAAAAUCGCAGUCGAAACUAUUAGGCUAGAGUAUAGUAGGGGUAAAGGGAAUUUCCAGUGGAGCGGUGAAAUGCGUAGAGAUUGGAAAGAACACCGAUGGCGAAGGCACUUUACUGGCUAUACUAACACUCAGAGACGAAAGCUAGGUAG